rnacentral:rRNA from 1 species
CCUACGGGUGGCAGCAGUGGGGAAUAUUGCACAAUGGGGGAAACCCUGAUGCAGCGACGCCGCGUGAGUGAAGAAGUAUUUCGGUAUGUAAAGCUCUAUCAGUAGGGAAGAAGAAAGACGGUACCUGACUAAGAAGCCCCGGCUAACUACGUGCCAGCAGCCGCGGUAAUACGGAGGGGGCAAGCGUUAUCCGGAAUUACUGGGUGUAAAGGGAGCGUAGGCGGCUGUGUAAGUCUGAAGUGAAAGCCCAAGGCUCAACCCUGGGACGGCAGUGGAUACUGUGGAGCUAGAGUGCUGGAGAGGUAAGUGGAAUUCCUGGUGUAGCGGUGAAAUGCGUAGAUAUUAGGAAGAACACCGAUGGCGAAGGCAGCUUACUGGACAGUAACUGACGUUGAGGCUCGAAAGCGUGGGGAGCAAACAGGAUUAGAUACCCGUGUAGUC